CCAGUAAACGGCGGCCGUAACUAUAACGGUCCUAAGGUAGCGAAAUUCCUUGUCGGGUAAGUUCCGACCCGCACGAAAGGCGUAACGAUUUGGGCACUGUCUCAACGAGAGACUCGGUGAAAUCAUAGUACCUGUGAAGAUGCAGGUUACCCGCGACAGGACGGAAAGACCCCGUGGAGCUUUACUGUAGCCUGAUAUUGAAAUUCGGCACAGCUUGUACAGGAUAGGUAGGAGCCUUUGAAACGUGAGCGCUAGCUUACGUGGAGGCGCUGGUGGGAUACUACCCUAGCUGUGUUGGCUUUCUAACCCGCACCACUUAUCGUGGUGGGAGACAGUGUCAGGCGGGCAGUUUGACUGGGGCGGUCGCCUCCUAAAAGGUAACGGAGGCGCUCAAAGGUUCCCUCAGAAUGGUUGGAAAUCAUUCAUAGAGUGUAAAGGCAUAAGGGAGCUUGACUGCGAGACCUACAAGUCGAGCAGGGUCGAAAGACGGACUUAGUGAUCCGGUGGUUCCGCAUGGAAGGGCCAUCGCUCAACGGAUAAAAGCUACCCCGGGGAUAACAGGCUUAUCUCCCCCAAGAGUUCACAUCGACGGGGAGGUUUGGCACCUCGAUGUCGGCUCAUCGCAUCCUGGGGCUGUAGUCGGUCCCAAGGGUUGGGCUGUUCGCCCAUUAAAGCGGUACGCGAGCUGGGUUCAGAACGUCGUGAGACAGUUCGGUCCCUAUCCGUCGUGGGCGUAGGAAAUUUGAGAGGAGCUGUCCUUAGUACGAGAGGACCGGGAUGGACAUACCUCUGGUGUACCAGUUGUCGUGCCAACGGCAUAGCUGGGUAGCUAUGUAUGGACGGGAUAAGUGCUGAAAGCAUCUAAGCAUGAAGCCCCCCUCAAGAUGAGAUUUCCCAACUUCGGUUAUAAGAUCCCUCAAAGAUGAUGAGGUUAAUAGGUUCGAGGUGGAAGCGUGGUGACACGUGGAGCUGACGAAUACUAAUCGAUCGAAGACUUAAUCAAUUU
rnacentral:rRNA from 1 species